UACAGAGACCUCAAGCGUUAUCCGGAAUCAUUGGGCGUAAAGCGUACCGAUAGGUGGUCUAAAAAGUCAGAAGUGAAAUCUCCGAGCUUAACUCGGAAUCUGUCUUUUGAAACUUUUAGACUAGAAGGGCAAAGAGGAAGCUGGAACGAACGGUGUAGUAGUGAAAUGCGUUGAUAUCGUUCGGAACACCAAUAGCGUAGGCAGGCUUCUGGGUGCCACUUGACACUGCUAGGACGAAAGCGUGGGUAGCGAAUGGG
rnacentral:rRNA from 1 species